UCCAGACUCCUACGGGAGGCAGCAGUGGGGGAUAUUGCACAAUGGGGGAAACCCUGAUGCAGCGACGCCGCGUGAGUGAAGAAGUAUUUCGGUAUGUAAAGCUCUAUCAGCAGGGAAGAAAAAAGACGGUACCUGACUAAGAAGCCCCGGCUAACUACGUGCCAGCAGCCGCGGUAAUACGUAGGGGGCAAGCGUUAUCCGGAUUUACUGGGUGUAAAGGGAGCGUAGACGGCAAUACAAGUCGGAAGUGAAAUACCCGGGCUCAACCUGGGAACUGCUUUGGAAACUGUAUGGCUGGAGUGCUGGAGAGGUAAGCGGAAUUCCUAGUGUAGCGGUGAAAUGCGUAGAUAUUAGGAGGAACACCAGUGGCGAAGGCGGCUUACUGGACAGUAACUGACGUUGAGGCUCGAAAGCGUGGGGAGCAAACAGGAUUAGAUACCCUUGUA
rnacentral:rRNA from 1 species